AUUGAACGCUGGCGGCAGGCCUAACACAUGCAAGUCGAACGAGUGGCGGACGGGUGAGUAAUGUCUGUGAAACUGCCCGAUGGAGGGGGAUAACUACUGGAAACGGUAGCUAAUACCGCAUACCAUCGGAUGUGCCCAGAUGGGAUUAUCUAGUUGGGGGGGUAACGGCUCACCUAGGCGACGAUCCCUAGCUGGUCUGAGAGGAUGACCAGCCACACUGGAACUGAGACACGGUCCAGACUCCUACGGGAGGCAGCAGUGGGGAAGAGUGGACAAUGGGCGCAAGCCUGAUGCAGCCAUGCCGCGUGUAGGAAGAAGGCCUUCGGGUUGUAAAGUACUUUCAGCGGGGAGGCGUUACCCGCAGAAGAAGCACCGGCUAACUCCGUGCCAGCAGCCGCGGUAAUAC
rnacentral:rRNA from 1 species